GCACCCUGUCCGAUCUUCUAGAGUCCGAGAACUGUGGAGGCUGGAGAGGAGUGGCCGGAGCCGCCGGGUGAGGCUUCUGGAAAGUAGCUGAGGGAACUAGUCAGCGGGACAGGUGGCUUCUUGUUGGGGGUGGGGUCUCCUUUCUACAUUGUAGCAACCAUAAAACCAAGUGAGACUGGGCCAGAAUUGGGAGUGGGUAGCUGGAGUCCCAGAGUAUCCGUAUUUCUGUGCCCAGCAGUGUGACGACUCACCAUGGAUAAUCUGUCCCCAGAGGAAGUUCAGCUGCGGGCUCACCAGGUUACUGAUGAGUCUCUGGAAAGCACAAGGAGAAUCCUGGGUUUAGCCAUUGAGUCUCAGGAUGCAGGAAUCAAGACCAUCACUAUGCUGGAUGAGCAAGGGGAACAACUAAAUCGCAUAGAAGAAGGCAUGGACCAAAUAAAUAAAGACAUGAGAGAGGCAGAGAAGACUUUAACAGAACUCAACAAGUGUUGUGGCCUCUGCAUCUGCCCUUGUAAUAGAUCUAACAUCCAAGCCGGGCUCAGUAGCUGAUCAAAGGGAUCUUUGAGAUGCAGUGUUGAGGUGCAGGCUGAGCUGCUAACCUGCUGCCCAAGGACAAAGAACUUUGAGUCUGGAAAGAACUAUAAGGCAACAUGGGGAGAUGGUGGCGACAACUCACCUAGCAAUGUAGUAUCUAAGCAACCGAGCCGGAUUACAAAUGGUCAGCCUCAGCAAACUACAGGAGCAGCCAGUGGUGGAUACAUUAAACGUAUAACUAAUGAUGCCAGAGAAGAUGAGAUGGAAGAGAACCUGACUCAAGUGGGCAGCAUCCUAGGCAACCUAAAGAACAUGGCUCUGGAUAUGGGCAAUGAAAUUGAUGCUCAAAACCAGCAAAUACAGAAGAUCACAGAAAAGGCUGACACCAACAAGAAUCGUAUUGACAUUGCCAAUACAAGAGCAAAGAAACUCAUUGAUAGUUAAAGCCCUGCUGUACUUCUUUACCUGUUAACUCAGUUCUCUAGCUCCGCUGAGUCAUUUCUUAUUCAGAGUUUGAAAGGCUGUGAGAAGGAGCAGAGGAGGAAUGCCUCGCUACUUUCUUACUUUGUCUUUAGGGGGUAGGUUCUUGCUCAGGCUUCCUUACAGUCUUUCUCAGUCACUCUCAUAGGCUUCUUUCCAUACAUCACCGUCUCUUCAUCUCUUCAUUUAGCUUCUUUUGCGUUCAAGAUUUGGAAGCAUUGCCAAAGAGCCAUGAAAGAAGCAGCUGUAUAAGUAGCUUUUGUCAUUAUUGGUAUUGGUUGGUUGGUUUGGUUUUGGUUUUGUGGUAAAGAGCAAGAGGAAGGAAUAGGAAAUGAAGCUGACUCAUUAAAGAAACUACAGGUCACAAAAACACAGACGAGUGCUUGGGGUGGGAGCUUUCACACAUGUGUUUUGUUCUGCAUCACUGUUUUUCAGCUUCUGCUCCAAAGGAGAAUACAAUGAGUUUUCUAGAAGUGAGCUUCACUUCUGAACCCAUAGUGAUUUGUACGUAUAUACAUAGGUUCUUGGAUCCAGUUUCAUAUUGCACAUGCAGGAACAUUAUAUAAAUGAGUGCCUUUUAUUCUCACACAAUGAGUCAUGGCAUGGUCCCAUUGUAGGCCUGUUAACUUCAUGAAGUUGACGGUAGCCUUUAAAAGAUACACACACACACACACACACACAUGAAAUAGGAGAUUUCCUCAAAGUUUUGGGGAAACUUUUACAGUGUAUCAUGUGAAUUCAGAUUUACCUCAAUACUAAGAAUUAUGUUUAGAUAUGAAAAAAACUUGUUUUGAUCUCAGGUAGAAAAAUAGAUUGCUUUGAGUUUUGUGUAGUUUUAAACAUUUAAAAAGUCAUAAUUUGUUACUAAAAGUUGUUUGGAAAAUUAUGCCUUUAUAUUAAUUAUUGAUGACCGCACUGCCAUUCUCUCUGCCUUAUGCACAGAAUCAAGUUUAUGUAGAUCCUGAAGUGUUAGGGAAGCUGAAAUGGUAUUUGUCACAUUUGUUUAAAAAUUAGCAUCUGUACACUUUAGAGCUACUAAAGUAGACUGGUUUCACCAAUAACCAUUGCUUUAUUCUUACAAUUAAAUUUUAUAAUUAAUGAUAUUGUUCUUUCAAAUAGGUAAUGUUUCUAUGACUUAUUUGUGGGGGCAAUCAUUUUAUCAGCUUCUGUUGACAUUAAAUAAAGCAAAUGUCCAUACAUCAAGCACUCCAAUAGAAAGCUGUAUUAGCUCUCUUCUAAUUUUUAGCAGAAGUGUUUACAGGAGUUUCUAUGGUUUGCUAUGAGUCCAUUCUAGACAUUAUCUUAGUCAUUUGUACUUAAAUACACUACUGAGUAUUUCUGAGUGAGAAUUACAAGUCACUUAUUGAAGAAGAUAAAUGUAGCCUACCAACAUUCAGAGGGUGAAGAGGACAGUAUUUAAAACAACAGAGAAAUGCCUGGCAUGGUGGCGCACACCUUUAAUCCCAGCACUCGGGAGGCAGAGGCAGGCAGAUUUCUGAGUUCGAGGCCAGCCUGGUCUACAGAGUGAGUUCCAGUUCAGCCAGGGCUAUACAGAGAAACCCUGUCUCGAAAAACAAACAAAAAAAUCAAAGAAGCACUCCAUGUCAGAGUGGUUCAUUUGUCAGGUAAAGAUACUGAAUUUAAGAGGUGUGGCUAAGUCCAAAACACUGAAUUGUGCUGUACCUAAAAGUGCUUUCCUUAAAAACAUGCUGAUUUGUCUAAAGGAACGGUACCAAAAGGUGGCAUCCAAGGUAUAUUUGGUUAGAAUAUGCACCAAAACCCCUUUGCUCUUGCUGGCUGGUGUGAAUGUAUGCUAUUUCUUUGUCUUGGUUUCCAUAUCUGUAAAUGGGGAUUAAUAAAUCUUAUUUUAUAAACUUAUUCACAGACCAGUAAUGCCCAGAAAUUUCUUAGAAUAUGCCAGGCUCAGAGUCCAUACUGGUAAUCCCAAAAUUUGGGAACCUGAGGCACAAUCUACCCAGUGAGUUGUGGGCCAGCCUAAAUUGUGUCAAAAAACAGCACCCCCUCCCCCCAAAAAAAGAAUCAACCAACAAAACUCUUAGAACAGUGCCUAUAAGAUGUAACUGUCAUAAAUGAUAGCUAUUUUCUCUAGACUGGAGGAAGCUCUUUUUGGUCAAAGAUCUUAGGUUUCCCCUUCUCCAGAGAAAAAGCAAAGAAGCAGAUACCAAGUGCCUUUGCCUGCUGAACCAUCAUGCGCACCACUUCCAUUAUUUUUGAGAUACGAUAGCAAGUAAAUACAAGCUGGAGAUUUAUUUUUGGUCUGUUUUCUAGUAUAGUGAUCUUGAAUACAAUACCUGAUUACAGAUAAGAGCUAGUAUCUUGUACCAAACUUUUUGUUUGUUGUUUUCGUUUGUUUUUCUUGACACAGGGUUUCUCUGUGUAGCCUUGGCUGUCCUAGAAAUCACUGUGUAGACCAGGCUGGCCUCAAACUCAGAGAUCUACCUGCCUCUGCCUCCCAUGUGCUGGGAUUAAAGGUGUGUGCCACCACCACCUGGCAACUUUUUAUUUUUUUAAACUGGGUCUCACCAUGUAAAGCUGGCUGACCUCAAACCCAGAGAUCUACCAGUCGCUACUCCGCAGAUACUGAAAUCAAGUGUGCCACUACACCCAACUUCAAAAUUUUACGUUUUAAAAAAUUUUAAAGCCCAAAUUUCAUCUUAACUUAUACGGCUGUACCUAUUUCAUCCCUUCUUCAGUUUUAAUGUAUUCUUUGGUCAAUUCUUUUUUCUUUCUUUUUUAUUUUUCUUUUUUCUUUUUUGGUUUUUCGAGACAGGGUUUCUCUGUACAGCCUUGGCUGUCCUGGAACUCACUCUGUAGACCAAGCUGGCCUUGAACUCAGAAAUCCGCCGGCCUCUGCCUCCCAAGUGUUAGGAUUAAAGGUGUGUGCCACCACUGCCCGGCCUUUUAUUAUUAUUAUUAUUAUUAUUAUUAUUAUUAGUAGUAGUAGUAGUAGUAGUAGUAGUAGUAGUACACUGAAACUGUCUUCAGACACAUCAGAAGAGGGCGUCAGAUCUCAUUAAGGGUGGUUGUGAGCCACCAUAUGGUUGCUGGGAUUUGAACUCAGGACCUUCAGAAGAGCAGCCAGUGCUCUUAACCUCUGAGCCAUCUCUCCAGCCCUCUUCAGUCAAUUCUUAAUCUUUCCUUAUCACAUAUGGAUUCUGACUCUUCUAUUAAGUUAAACAUCUUAUUAUGAGCAUAUAAAGUUAAGUUUCUAGGACUGGGGAUGUAGAACCGCUCAGUUCAUGAAGUGCUUGCCUAGUAUUCAAAAACUGGAUUCAGCUCUGGACUACCGUGUAAGCCAGGUGUGGUGGUUGCCCUCCAAACGCAGCCCUGGGUAGGAGGAUCAGGGGCUCAAGGUCAUCCUCAGGCUCAGUUCCAGGACAACCUGGAAUAUGUGAAACACCACCCAAAAACCAAAAUGGCCAAUAAUAUGGCUUAGCAGGUAAGGCUGGCAACCCAAGUUUGAACUCCUCCGGGACCUAAAUGGUAGAAGAAGCAAGCCAACUCCUAAAAGUAUUCUUCUGACUUCCACAUGUGCUGUAGUGGAUGCAAGCUUGUGUACACAUAUACAUAAAAAAUGUAAUGAAAAUAAAAAGCAAAAGCUAUUUGAAUGCCAUUUUCCUGGAUGCUCUUAAUUAAAAUUCCAAGUUAUCCUAA